rnacentral:rRNA from 1 species
GAUGAACGCCGGCGGCGUGCCUAAUACAUGCAAGUCGAGCGAACGGACGAGAAGCUUGCUUCUCUGAUGUUAGCGGCGGACGGGUGAGUAACACGUGGAUAACCUACCUAUAAGACUGGGAUAACUUCGGGAAACCGGAGCUAAUACCGGAUAAUAUUUUGAACCGCAUGGUUCAAAAGUGAAAGACGGUCUUGCUGUCACUUAUAGAUGGAUCCGCGCUGCAUUAGCUAGUUGGUAAGGUAACGGCUUACCAAGGCAACGAUGGAUAGCCGACCUGCGAGGGGGAUCGGCCACACUGGAACUGGGACACGGUCCAGACGCCUACGGGAGGCAGCAGUAGGGAAUCGUCCGCAAAGGGCGAAAGCCUGACGGAGCAACGCCGCGUGAGUGAUGAAGGUCUUCGGAUCGUAAAACUCUGUUAUUAGUGAAGAACAUAUGUGUGAGUAACUGUACACAUCUUGACGGUACCUAAUCAGAAAGCCACGGCUAACUACGUG